rnacentral:rRNA from 1 species
AGCGAACGCUGGCGGCAGGCCUAACACAUGCAAGUCGAACGGAUCCUUCGGGAUUAGUGGCGGACGGGUGAGUAACACGUGGGAACGUGCCCUUUGGUUCGGAACAACUCAGGGAAACCUGAGCUAAUACCGGAUGUGCCCUUCGGGGGAAAGAUUUAUCGCCAUUGGAGCGGCCCGCGUCUGAUUAGCUAGUUGGUGAGGUAACGGCCCACCAAGGCGACGAUCAGUAGCUGGUCUGAGAGGAUGAUCAGCCACACUGGGACUGAGACACGGCCCAGACUCCUACGGGAGGCAGCAGUGGGGAAUCUUGCGCAAUGGGCGAAAGCCUGACGCAGCCAUGCCGCGUGAAUGAUGAAGGUCUUAGGAUUGUAAAAUUCUUUCAGCGGGGACGAUAAUGACGGUACCCGCAGAAGAAGCUCCGGCUAACUUCGUG